rnacentral:ncRNA from 1 species
UUAAAUGCGAUGAAAAAGACGAGUAAAUAAUUUAUCUCUUUAAGUGAACUAGUGAUAGUGCGAAACUAGUAGACCCUGAAUUAUCGAAAAACACUUUGAGCUGCACACUGAAAUGAUUCCAAAGUAGGUGGCGCCGUCUCCAGUACGUUACCACGCUGGUGAAGCAUGAUUGUGCUUCAUGAGUUGGUCCGAAUUUCGGACAAUCUAGGUGGUACCGCGGAAAAAAGCCUUUCGUCCUUGUU